rnacentral:rRNA from 1 species
CAGCCGUAAACUAUGCGCGUUAGGUGUAUCGGUGACCACGAGUUACCGAGGUGCCGAAGGGAAACCGUGAAACGUGCCGCCUGGGAAGUACGGUCGCAAGGCUGAAACUUAAAGGAAUUGGCGGGGGAGCACCACAACAGGUGGAGCCUGCGGUUUAAUUGGACUCAACGCCGGGAAUCUCACCGGAUAGGACAGCAGAAUGAUUGCCGGGCUGAAGACCCUGCAUGACUAGCUGAGAGGAGGUGCAUGGCGUAGACGUCU